GGGUGGAUCAUUAAACAUUAGCAAAAACGUUCUCAGAUGUGAGUCACUUCAGCACUGUUUAACCCGGAUUUGACUUGAAAACAUCAGUGAGAAACAUGGCUAGUAAAAGACAAAUAUUAAAGCAGAUUUUAGGGCUUACCGUGGCUAUCCUGCUUACCCAUGUGUUAGAGGUGGCAACAAAUGAUUUCCAAGAAAC